rnacentral:rRNA from 1 species
AUUGAACGCUGGCGGCAUGCCUUACACAUGCAAGUCGAACGGCAGCACGGGUGCUUGCACCUGGUGGCGAGUGGCGAACGGGUGAGUAAUACAUCGGAACAUGUCCUGUAGUGGGGGAUAGCCCGGCGAAAGCCGGAUUAAUACCGCAUACGAUCUACGGAUGAAAGCGGGGGACCUUCGGGCCUCGCGCUAUAGGGUUGGCCGAUAGCUGAUUAGCUAGUUGGUGGGGUAAAGGCCUACCAAGGCGACGAUCAGUAGCUGGUCUGAGAGGGCGACCAGCCACACUGGGACUGAGACACGGCCCAGACUCCUACGGGAGGCAGCAGUGGGGAAUUUUGGACAAUGGGCGAAAGCCUGAUCCAGCAAUGCCGCGUGUGUGAAGAAGGCCUUCGGGUUGUAAAGCACUUUUGUCCGGAAAGAAAUCCUUGGCUCUAAUACAGUCGGGGGAUGACGGUACCGGAAGAAUAAGCACCGGCUAACUACGUG